GGAUUAGAUACCCUGGUAGUCCAUGCCGUAAACGAUGAAUACUAGAUGUUUGGGGAAUCGACCCCCCAAGUGUCGCAGCUAACGCGUUAAGUAUUCCGCCUGGGGAGUACGGUCGCAAGACUAAAACUCAAAGGAAUUGACGGGGGCCCGCACAAGCGGUGGAGCAUGUGGUUUAAUUCGAUGCAACGCGAAGAACCUUACCUGGGUUUGACAUCCUUUGACAACUCUAGAGAUAGAGCCUUCUCCUCGGAGACAAAGUGACAGGUGCUGCAUGGCUGUCGUCAGCUCGUGCCG
rnacentral:rRNA from 1 species